rnacentral:lncRNA from 1 species
UUAGGUAGAGGACUACUGAGAUCCAAGAGACGAUGUCUCUACGCGGCACAUGGAGAACCAAAAUGGGAAGCAAGUAUGGAAACAGAUGGCGGCCAGACCCUUGCCCUGAUACAGUUAUUAAGUUUCACCAUCUGUAUAAGGCAAGAAAACACUUUUUUUAAAAACUGAAGUAUAAUUGCUUCACAAUAUUAUAUUAGUUUCAGGUAUAUGGCAUAGUGAUUAUUUUUAUAGAUUAUACUGCAUUAAAAGAUAUUAGAAAAUAACGGCCACAUCUCCCUGUGCCAUACAAUAGAUCUUUAUUGUUUACCUAUUUUAUGCACUGCCGUUUGUACCUCUUACCCCGUACCCCUUUCUCGCCCCUUCUUCCCUUUCUCUCCCCACUGGUAACCACUAGCUUGUUUUCUGUAUCUGUGAGAAGAGAGCACUUUUUAAAAUUGUUUCUUUUCCUCUGAAUUGCUGAACAUUUCUUUUUUCAAUCAUCCCUGAUUCUUCUACCACCAACAUAUUAUUGCAAAUAAACAUAAUCAGCAUGUCCCUAAGAACAUCUUUGGACUCAGAACACCAAUUUUUAAAAUCUUGGCUCUUCUGCUUACUAGUUUUGUAAAGACUCUAGUUUCCGUGUUCUCAUCUAUAAAGUUGGAAUAAGAAUAGAACUUAUUUCCUAGAGAUAUUAUGAUGAUUAUAUCACAAAUCUAUGCAAAACCUCCUACAACAGUAGACUAAUAAGCAUUAAAUAAAAUAAUCCAUAUAAAGCACUUGGUAGCCAGAUCAUUAUAAUCAGAAGUAAAAGUAAUUAUUAUCUUAGUUAUAAUUAUUAUUAAUAAGCAUCCUCAGAGGAAGCUCCCAUGUGGCACAGCAGGCUAAGGAUCCAGCAUCGCCACAAUUGCAACACAGGCUCCACCCCUGGCCCAGGAACUUCCACCUGCCGGGUGCAGCCAAGAACGAAACAAAACAAAACAAAAAACCUGGCCUCAGAAGUCUUCCUUCAUUGGCUACCCUUCUUCUAUUAGUUUGAAAAUACGAGUUGUCCUGGAAACUUCAAGUCCAACAGAAAAGAUCACAACUGCCACUGUGACUUCCCAAUUAGUCAAAUCUAAUGUGCAUAUAGUAACAGUUCCCCAUGAGUGGAGAAAUAUCACAUUAGCAUUGCAUCAGCUGAAUCAUGUGAAUUUGAUUUAUCAGCAUUCCAGGGAGUGAAGGGUUUGGGUGUUACAUGGAGAUCCAGUUAUUGAGUGGUUAAACAAUGUCCACUCAAAAUAGCAUGUAAAGUAAAAUACAAGAUCAAUUUAUACCAGAGAAAGCAAACCAGUAAUGAGCUUGCAUAAAGAUUAGGUUGACUACCAUCAAUAUAAAUUAAACAUAUUUUUUAUCCAUAGCUUCAUAACAGAUUUUUAACUUGUUAAUACAAGCCUUCUUAAUACCAUGUUUGCUUGUUUGUUUGUUUUUUGGCUGAGAUGAAAGUUGGAUUCUUACUGGGCAACUGUAAUCUUGACAGUACUUGCCCCGUAGACCUUGCAUUCACAAAUCUCAGACUCCGUUUCCUAGCAACUUGCCCCAAGACAACAGCCAACAAAUAUUAUAGAAUAAAUCAAUUUUUUUUGCCACAGAUCCAUUCAUACCUUCUUUCAAAACAUGAACACAUUCUUAAAACAUAAGCCAACAGUUAAUCUCUUAAUAAAGAUGUGUGAAUAAGUUUUAAAAGCAAAGUCAUCAUUUCAUCGCACUGUUUAUUUCCUAUUAAGCUGUCAAACAAAAAAAAUUACUACCUAAACUGAUUAAAUACCUUGUCCUUCACUCUGAACCACAAACCACUUAAAAGGAGGAUGACAUUAGUUCUAUAGAUAUCUCAAGAAAAUUAUUCUUACUUUUAUAGAGAAUAUAAUGUAUGGUUAAAAUAGAUGUCGUGGACUAGUUCAUAUCUUUUAAUCAUGCACAUUGAACUACUUUUUUCUUAAGAAUAGACCUAAUAUUUACUUACAGGCAAAAAUAAUUUAAUUCACGAAAUAAAGAAUUCAGCUUUGUUAAGAAAAGUUAAAAUCUCAUUUUUAAGUUAAGAGAGAAGCUUAAAGGAAUUCCCACUGCGGCGAGUGGGUUAAGAAUCCCACUACAGUGGCUUGCGUCACUGCAGAGGUAUAGGUUAGAUCCUGGCCAGGCGCAACGGGUUAAAGGAUCCAGCACUGCCAUCUCAGCUGCAGCUCAGAGUCAAUCCCUGGCCUAGGAAAUUCCAUAUGCCUCAGAUGCAGCCAAAAAAAAAAAAAAAGAGAGAGCGAGAGAGAAGCUUACAAUCUCUUUAGUAUAAUUAUAUUGUUAUAUAAAAUGAUUUAAAAAUUAAGAUAUAUAACAAAAAAGUUUUAUUUUAAGCAUCAAAAAUGAGGGAAAAUACUAAAAAUGGAAGUGUAAGAAAUACAUUGAAGCUUACAUUCCUCUAUAUAAAAUACUUAACUCUCCCGGGGCUAUUUGCAGACCUCAGAGUGCAUAGCUUAAAGAUUCAAAAAUCCUAGUUUUUCUACUUCAAAAAUCAAUAGUUAUCUCAUACCACAAGCUAGAAUCUUGAUUGUUUGCGUGGGAAGCCCUUCAAUUUUAACGAAUGUAAAGAGAGAAUCUACUCUGCUCACCAGAAACUGGAAUUAUGUUCUCAAAUGUAUCCUAUCAACUAUCCCUCACCUAGCCUUCUGAGACUUAAUUCUCUCUCUGACCUAAGAUGUUUUGAAUGUCUUCCACAAUUAUUACUUUACUGGCACUUUGAUGACUCAUAAUUAUUUUUAGGAUCAAAACUCUAACCUAACCAUCUGCUGAUUUGCCAGUACUCCCUAGUAUAACUGAAACAUACACAUCUAUCGCCAACAACUAAAUGAGCUUCCUCUAUCUACAAAUACUAUUAUUCACAGAAAGUUUACUGAAGGUCAGGAAACAGAUUGAGAGAAGUCACUGAAUGCCAGAAGCAGAACUUUAAACAAAAGUUUAUUUCUGCCAGUAAGUGAGAAAGGUUACAUAUGUAACUUAGAUGGUUUGGUCUUCCCUUGCUUCUUCCUAUUUACAAAUACAAACAUCUCUUCUCAGAAGCAAAUAAAUAAAUCAUUUUCUUAAGAAGUCACAGUCUCGCUGAAUUUUACUUUCCAACCAAAUUUAAACGUUUUGCUUAAUACUCCUUAAAGUGCUAAAAACUCACUGAUGUCACAUACCAAGAAUUAAAAAAAAAAAAAAAGAAUUAAAAAUUCUGUCUUUACAAACAGAAGAAAAGCAACAACUCCAGAAGAAAAUAAUUCUAUCCAGACACCGGAGAAGAUCUCAUGAGAGUUAAGAUAUUUAAUUACCACAAUUUGGGAACAAGAAGCAACAAUGGAGAAAAGCAAAUAGAAGGUAAACAUGAGAGCGAUAGUUAAAUGCAAAUUCAUGAGUAGAAACCAAAAGUGUGAAAACUGAUCAUAUUUAAUGAUGCAUCUCUGCUUUCCCAGUUCUUCCUCAAUCAUAUGGUAAAAGAAAAUAUGAAGACACAUUAAUCCUGCUACCGGCCUUGAACACAGAAUAGGCAUUCAAAGCAAAAAGUUGAUAGUGCAACACUGACUAAAGCUAACUUGUCAAAAAGUAUCACUCCUUUAGGUAAUCAAUUACAACAGGGAUUCUAUAUACACUCUCCAGGCACAGUAAGGGUUAAAACAUACUCCCCUGCGGUGGUGCGUGACCAUGGGCUCAAGCACAUUUUAGUGUACCCCGACAUCAGCUAGAUCCUAAGUGAAUGGAGUCAACAAUAGUUUGAUCAAAGAGAUUGAGGGUAAAAGGAGCAAUUGCUUUUUGGGGUAGCUAAUGGAACACAAGAACAACUGGUUUGUACAUCAUUUUACUCUACAGUUCUACACAUCCUUGAGUUUAGAAACUGUCAAGUAUUUUUAAGGGUGAGAAUAUAAGCAGGAUCAAAGCUACAGUUAAAACUGUGAAUGCUCUGAAAAUCUUUUGGCCCUUUAAAGUUUAUGUACACAAUAGAGUUCUCCUCUCUCCAGAGAACAUCACUAAACAAAACCAAGGGGGAGCACGUACUACAGCAGCAGCUACUGGGAAUUACCAAAUUACAUGAAAUUAAUGGGAUGUGGCUCUUUGCAAUGAAUAAAUUUAUAACUAAAUGAUGAGUGCCUUACGCUUUUUAUUCCACCGGGUAAACUGCUAGAGUAAUCAAUUCAAUCAGGUCUAUUAGAGAGGCCCAUUAUAUGUCCGAUGGGCAGCUUUACUUCUUUCCCCUCCUUCUUCAGAUUUCUGUCUGUGCUGAAGGAAAAAUAAGCAGGUUGGUCCUUGAAUUUAAAUCUGGAAUGUUAAGAAGUCAGAUAUGCAAAUAGAUAAAACAGAAAAAAGGAAGCCAAGACUCGAUAAGCCAAAGGCACAAAAGAAAAAGAGAAACAUCAGGAAUACUAAAAUGUUUAGGGACCAAAUCAAAUAUUUUCAAUUUAUUUUUUAAAUGUAAUGCUGGUAAUAUUCAGAAAAAUAUUUCUAAAAAUUAAAAAAAAAAGGGGGGGGGCUCAAGGAUAGAAUUACCAUGGCCCAGGCUUAGAAGGAUACAAACCAGUAUGCUUGCCCUAGGGCUGAGUGAUCCAUAUAUAGACCUGCAGAGGCAACAGUAAACUUCACAGGAAUUAUGUAAGCAAGGCUCUUCCUAUGAUGAAAUGGUGCCACAAAGGGGCAAGAAAUGACCUAGGCUUUACUUCCUGUAAUGAGGCAAUCUUUGCAACCCUAUGAAAAGUUUCUUAAUCCCAAGACUGGCAGUAUAACUUUUCUUAACUACCUCAUAGUUUUAAAAGGAGAGCCACACAAAUAACACAUGUAAGGGCUCAGUAAAGGUAAAAGUGUGAAACAGAGAAAAGGUAGCACUGACACCAGAGGCAGUCUCAGUGCUAUGGCUAACACAAAGCAAAGGCUCAACCAACAAUUGCUGGAUGAAAGAAUGAACGUUUUAAAAUAAUUUUAAGGCGUUCCCGCUGUAUUGCGGUGGGUUAAGAUUCCAGCUGCAGGAGUUCUCAUCUUGGCGCAGCAGAAACAAAUCCAACUAGGAACCAUGAGGUUGUGGGUUUGAUCCCUGGCCUCACUUGUGGGUUAAGGAUCCGGCGUUGCUGUGAGGUGUGGGGUAGGUUGCAGACGCGGCUCGGAUCUUGCGUUGCUGUGGCUGUGGUGUAGGCUGGCAGCAACAGCUCUGAUUAGACCCCUAGCCUGGGAACCUCCAUAUGCCGCAGGAGCAGCCCUGGAAAAGGCAAAAAAAAAAAAA